GAAAUGCGAUAAGUAGUGUAAAUUGCAGAAUUCAGUAAAUCAUCAAAUCUUUAAACGCACAUUGCGCCCUUUGGUAUUCCUUAGGGCAUGCCUGUUCGAGCAUCAUCUAAACCUUCAAGCACUGCUUGGUGUUAGGUGCCUGUCCCGCCCCCGCGCGUAGACUCACCUCAAAUCCAUUAGCGGCCCUCACGUCGGCUUCAAGCGCAGCAGAAACGCGAACUCGAGGCCCGUCAGAGCAGCUCCCAGAAGCUACAUUCACCAUUUUAACCUCAGAUCAGGUAGGGAUACCCGCUAAACUUAA
rnacentral:misc_RNA from 1 species